CUCGUUUCUGUUCUGAUUUUUUCCCUUCCCUUCCUCCACCCCCUCCCCUAGAUGGCAAGCAAUCUUACAUAUGUUAGAUAUGUUGCAGUAUAUCCUAGAUACAAUAUAUGUUUGCAGAACUGAACAGUUCUCUUGUUGCACAGGGAGAAUUGGAUUCAGAAGGUAAAAAUAACCCGGGAAGAAAAACAAAAAUGCAGAUAGUUCACAUUCGUUUCCCAUUGUUCUUUCUUUGGGUGUAGCUGCUUCUGACCAUCAUUUAUCAAUUGAAACUCAGGUCUCUUUGUCAAAGAAAUCCACUUCCAUCAGAAUAUGUCCUCAUACAAUAUCGUUGUCGAAGUGUAUAAUGAUCUCCUGGUUCUGCUCAUUUCACUUAGCAUCAGUUCAUAUAAGUCUCGCCAGUCCUCUCUGUAUUUGUCCUGCUGGUCAUUUCUUACAGAACCAUAAUAUUCCAUAACGUUCAUAUACCACAAUUUACCCAGCCAUUCUCCAAUUGAUGGGCAGCCAUUCAUUUUCCAGUUUCUAGCCUAAGUAUGUAGUUUCUAUUUGAGUUUGAUGCCACUGUUCUAGCCACAUCCCACUUCUGACCUUAAUUCUGCCAAAGAUAUCACCCAUCUUCUAGCCUCACCUAGGUUUGUAACCCAAAAAUUAUUCUUACUUUUCACUAUCACUCAUACUCACCUUAUGUUUAAUCAAUUGCAAAGACUUAUAAAUUCUAACUCCUCAACAUCUUUCUCAUCUGUCCUUUACAUCCUACUUAUAUAAAAAUUACCCUGGUUCAGACCCCCUCUUACCUUGAUUAUUAUGAUAAUUUCCUAAUUUAAUUUCAAUUUAAUAAUUAUUUUAUUUUAUUUAACAAUAGCUUUAUAUUUUCAAAAUGCAUGCACUCAUCUUUCAACACUCAUCUCUGCAAAACCUUGUGUUCCAAAAUUUUCUCCCUCCCUUCUCUCCAAUCCUUCCUCCAGACAGUAAGUAAUCCAAUUUAGGUUAAACAUGUGCAAUUCUUCCAAAUUUAUACAAUAAUCUCCUAAUUGGUCCUCUUACAUUCAUUCUCUCCCCUCUUUCACAUCGUUGUCAAAACAAUAUUCCUAAAAUAUCAAUUUAAAUUGUUCUCUCCAUCUUCAAGAAACUUCAUUGGAUCUCUAGUGCCUCUUGGAACCUUUAGGAUAAAAUGAAAUCUUUGUUUUGUGGUCACCUAAAUCCUGUUCUGACUUAACUUUAAAUUAGCUGUUAAUUGUCAGGAAGGAUUUGAACUCAGGUAGAUAAAUCUUCCUGACUCUAGACCCAGGAUGUUAGUCACUAUGGUACCACCUAGAUUCCCAGGAUAAUAUAAGAGGAUACAUAUUUUCAUUCCAGUGGAGAGGAUGCCCGUUCUAGAGAAAACAUCUUAGUGCAAGGACUAAAAAGUAACCAACAUAUAAAAAAAAAAAAAGUCUGACAAAUAUGCAGUAUUCUUCCAUGUCUGUAAUUUCCCACCUCUGCAAAGAAUUGGGAAAGUUAUCAUCUCAUAUAUCUUUUUCGUUCAUUAUAACUUCAGAGCAUUUGACUUUAAUUUGCUCAUGGUGUUCUUUCUACAUUGUGGCAGUCGUUUUGUAUAGUCUUUUCACUUUGCAUCAGUUUAUGUCUUUCCAUGCUUCCCCAUAUUCAUUGUCUCCAUCACUUUCUAAAGCAUAACAACACUAUUAGAUUCACACACCACAAUUUGCUUAACCAUUCUCCAAAUAGUGAACACUUACUUUGUUUCCAGUUUUUUGGCUACCCUGAAAAUGCUACAACGAAUAGGAUGUGCCUAUUUGUGUGGUAAACCCCGGUGUUUGAUCAUUUUGUGCAGAAACACUGUUUCUGAAAGGAGUUACUCUGCAUAUUGGUGCCUCUGGAGGGUAACUGGUGUCUCCCUUAGAUUGUAAAUCCCUUAAAGACAGGGUUUCUCUGUGUCCUCAGCACUUAGCCCAGGGCCUGGCAUUUCUUCCUAGUCCAGAUUCUUUUCACCUUCAUCUGAUAGAAUGUUGAGUUUGAAUUGAAGAUCAGCUCGGGUACCACCUUCCAAAGUCAUUUUCUGAACCCUCCAGUCAUGAGGACUCUCUUCUUUUUGAAAUUACUUUGUAUUUCUUUAUGUGUGUGUGUGUGUGUGUGUGUAUGUAUACAUAUACAUAUAUAAUAUAUAAUAUAAUAAUAUAUAUUGUACCCUGCCACCUGCAUUAUAUCCUCCUAAGUGGACUAUGCUCAUUAAGAGGGACAUUUUUACCUCUGUUUUUGCUACAUUAAGAAUAAUAACAUGAUAGCUAACAUUUAUAUGAUGCUCUUCUAGACCAAUUUGCAAUUAUUGUCUAAUUUAAUUAUCACAACAAUGCUAAAAAAAAAUAGGUGCCAUUAUUAUCCCUGUUUCACAGAUGGGGAAACAGUGGCAAAUAGAAAUUAUGAUCUUUCCAGAGUCGCACAGCAAGUAAGUUUCUGAGGCAAUAUUUGAACUCAAGUCUUUUUGAUUCCAGAUUUGGCAUUCUGAUAUUGGACUACCUAGCCUCAGUCCCAGAACCUGGCACAGAGCCUUUCAUGUAGUGUAUGUUCUUAGUAUUUAAUGUUUGUUGAAUUGAUUAUUGAAAUGGCCUCCUACCUGCUAUUUCUGUUUUCAGCCUUACCUUUCACUAACCCACCCUUCACAUCUAUGAAGUAUCUUCAGGGAUAUAUACAUUUUGCUAUAUUAUACCUUUGCUCAAAAAGCUAUCAUUGCAUCCUAUUGCUUAUUGAAUAAAAUCUAAUUUUUUUUACUGUUAUAUUGUUUUUUCCAAUGCCAUGUAAAGGAAAAUUUUAACAUUUGUAUUUUUUAAAAUUUUGAUUUCAAAAAUCUCUCCUUUCCUUCCUCCCAAAUCUUUCUUAAAAUGGCAGAUAAUCUGAAAUACAUUAUAUACAUGCAGUCAUAUAAAACAUAUUUCCACAUUAGUCCUAUUGUGAAAGAAAAGAUAGACCAAAAAAGUAUCCCCAAACAAAAACACUAACCAAUGCAUAAAAAUGAGGUGAAAAAUAUGUUUUGAUCUGCUUUCUGACUUCAUCAGUUUUUUUUUUUUGAGUGGAUAAUGUUUUUUCAUCGAGUCAUUUGAGAUUGUCUUGGAUCAUUGUAUUGAUGAGAAGAGGUAAGUUAUCUGCCAUUGAUCAUUGUAAAAUAUUGUAUUACUGUUUGAAAUGUUUUGGUUCUGCUUACUUCAUAAAAUCUAAAUUCUUUCACCUGGUAUUUGAAUCUCUUUUUUUCUCCAACUCAAUUUCAAUUUAUACCUCUUCAGGAAUUGUGAAUGUCAGUGUGCCCUCUCCAUCACUCUGCUUUCAGAUUGAUCCUGGUCUUGUGCCUUAGAAUGGAUUCCUUUCUGUUCCCUGUCUCUGCCACAUGAAACCUUUGCUUUUUCUUAAGGUCUCACUCAGGGCUUGCCUUUUCCAUGAAGUCUGGCAGUUAGGUAGAACAGAGAAUAGAGUGCUAGGUUUGGAGUCCAGAAGACCCAAAUUCAAGUUUGCUUCAGACACAUAUGCCUCAAUUUCCUCACCUGGAAAAUGAAAUAAUAAAAGAGUUGUGAUGAUAUUUACCAGCUUUAAAACAUUAUAUAAGUGCUAGCUAUUAUUAUUUUUCAUACAAGGUCCUCCCAGAUCACCUCCAAUUAUCAUGUUUUAAUUUUUUUGAGUUGUUAUUUGCAUAGAAGUAUUUUCUUCUCUCCUCCCGUCCCCCCCAAAUCUAUAUGAAGAUAGGAACUGUGGUUUAUUUUAUCUUUGCAUUUUCAGGCUAGUAGAAUAUUCCCCACAUAGUAGGUAAUAAAUAUAUAAAAAGUGUUCCAAAAGUCUUAAUGCAGCUUAAAACUUUUAUUGACUUUAAAAAAAAAAAAAACAUGCUGCAAUAAGACUUUUAGGAUAUCGUAUUUAUUGAAUUGCUUUCAUGAUAAAAUAAUACAAUUAUGAAAUUAUGAUGAGGGGAGUGCAAAAUAAGUCCUAAUAAAUAAGGAAUUAAUCUUUCCUUGUCAUGACUUUAUUUAGAAGAAGAGCAAAUAUUCUGAAUUUUAAAGAUAUAUAGGAGGGGAAGCUAGAUGGUGUAGUGAAUAGAACAUCAGCUCUGAAAUCAGGAGGACCCGAGUUAAAAAUUUGACCUCACAAAUCACUUCGUCCCAAUUUCCUCAGCCAAAAAAAAAAAAAAAAAAAAAGAAAAGAAAAAGAAGAUAUGUAAGGAAUUGGCCAUUUGUGUGAAUAAAGCCAUAGACAGAGAUCUUGAGUCGGAUGGGAUCUUAAUUAAAAUUAAAUCCAAGUCCUUCAUUUUUUCAUAUGGAGAAAUUGAGAUCAAGAGAAAGGAAGUUGUCCAAGGUUGCAUCAGCAUUAAUUAAUGUAGUCACUCUGAAUUCAGUUUCUCUUAAGUGUCAGCCCCGUGUAUAUCCUUCCAUUCUCUAUUUGCCUUUUUCUUCUUCCCAAUUGGUUCUAAAUCAUCAACUCUCCCAUUAGCUUGUAAACAAUGCAGCAGUUUAUAGGCAGAGAUCUGGGUCUCAGUCUAGAAAGUCACCCUGGAAAAGUGACCUUCACUCCCUGGCAUUGAUCACUGAAACAAGGUUUGUCUUUGUCCAAAUUCUGGCUGCUCCAACCUGAAGGUGGAGAGAGUGGAACAUAGUUGGGGAAAAAUACCCCUGAUAUCUCCAGAUGGGAUCAUUUCAAAGAUACAAGGAGGUCCUGUAUCUUUCCUGUGGAAAAGCGCCAUUGAAGGCUCAGGCUAUUUUUCAGCCGUCCAAUCCUUUUUUUUUUUUUUCUCCAGGGUUCUUGCACUGGUUGCCAUGGUAGCAGCCAACAGUUGAAGUCGAGCUCCUGAGGAUCUGCAAGGAAAGGAACCUGCUGGAGUUGCCAGCCCCUGCUUCCUCUCUGACUGAUGCCCUUCAAGUCCAGUUGCCAGAAAAGGUCAUGUGAAGAAUCAAGAAAACUGUGAGCUCAAUUGUAACUGCAUUAAAUAUAUUUGGAAUGCUGGAAUGGAAAUGAUUAUCAGGGAAAUAAUCCAAACCGAAUGAAAAUAUAAGGUAAAAAAAAAAGUUAUCUAAUAUAGUAGUGGAUAUGGGAGUCUGAAAGACUAAGAGCAAGACCAAUUGCAACCUCUUUUUCACAACAUAGUUGUAAAAUUUAAUGAUUUGUAAAAUCUUAAAAGUUUCAAAUAUAUGUUUGUUAUUAUUACUAAUUCAGGCAAAUUAGUUCAUAAGCAGACUAUGGGAAAUACAAGUUGCUUUUUAUAAAGGGGCAACUUAAGACUUUCAAUUCAGCUUUUUACACACAUAUCCCAAACGCUUCAAUCAAGUGUUCAAUCAAUCAAGCUUCAAUUCAAGCAAAUUCAAUACAUACUUUCUUCAUUAGGCUUUUGUUUUAAAAGAUGCACAAACUGCCAUUUAAAAACUAUAUAAUUGCCUAGUGUGCCUAUGAAGGCACAGGAUUUACAGUGGACAUAAAAACACAAAAAAUAAAACUCUUCCUGUAUCAGCCCGCAAAGAUUUGGUGGUCUCAACAAAGGGAGGGAAUAAGUCAGCAGAGGGACAAACAGGAAUAUCAUAAGCAUUAUCACCUUAGAAAACAGUGAUAAGCAGGGAAAGAAAAGAUUAAAAAGAGACCGAUUGAUAAAGGAUUGACACUGCAAGUCAUCUGUAGACAAUACCACAAAAACAGCUGAGCUGCUUCAGAGAAGUGGAAGGAUUAAGGUCCUGCAGUGUUUUUGGGAGGGAAGAAAACACAAAGGGGAAAGGCAGCUGAACCAGGUCAAAUAUAAAGAGAUCCAUAUUUGUGAUGAUAAAAUGUUGUUGGGGUUAAGGGGUUGAAUCUGUCAAAGGCAAUGACAAUGAUCCUAACUAUGGGCCCAUGUCAUUCAAUCAGUCUACCAACACUUAUUUAGCACCUCUUGUAUGCCGGGCAAGGCAGCAGGCAAUAGGAAUACUAAGACAACAGCAAAAAGCAGACUGAGAUAAUGAGCACACACACAGAUCAAUAAAAAAGCGCACACAAGGUAACCUUGGCAGCUCCAGAGAUGUCUCAGGGAGACAGUGGAGUCUGAACUGAGUCUGGAAGGAAACCAGGGAUCCCAGGGGCUGGCAAAGAGGAAGGAGAACUCCAAGGCUGUUUGAGAUGACUGGAAAAAUUGGCAGGGCCAGAUCAUGCAAACUAAAAGACCAGAGUGAUUUGUAUCAGGUUCGAGAAGUAAGCCUCAAGUGUCCUCAGUAAGGGAGAGCCUACUUGGGCAGGAGGACAAUGAGGAGCUUAGUCCAGAUAAGAGUGGACGAGGACUGAGUGCCUGAACAAGAGUUGUGGCUGUUGGAGUGUCAAAUAUGUCAAGCCACAAUUUAAUGACAAAUCCUCAGAAAGAGGACAGCCUUAAUCAAAGUUUUAAGAAAGGUCAUCAUUUGUGGAAGCCUGCCUGUUCCUUUCAUGAGCCUAUCUUUUUAGUAACUAAAGGUGCUGAAAAUGAUAGUAAAGACAAUAUUCCGAUACUUACUGACUAUAAAAAACCAUUUCCCUUUGAACUUACAGACUAUAAAAAACCAUUUCCCUUUGAAGUACCUGGCAGAUAAGGUAGCAAACACUGAGGUCCUCUCCCAAACAUUCAAAUCCUAACUCCACCAGGUGGGCUACGUCAGCGCUCACACAGUCAGAACAAGCAGUACAGCGACACAAUCAAGGUCUCUGCCAAGAACUUUAGUCUCAAUUGGCCCAGGACUGCCCGGCACCGCAUGCCCACAACACUGAAGGUGCUACGCCAUGAGCAUGAGGGAAAGGCAAGAUGUGCACCUCAGAACGCACUCUUGGUUCCCUUCCAAGCCCAUCCUGGACUGAUGAGCCACAGUCGAACAUACUGUACCUUGACUCCAACACGGUGAUGUCACCGGUCUUCCGAGUAUGAGAGAUGGACAAUAAAAGACAUUUAAUAAACUAUCUUUUCUAAUGCUGUUUCCCCUAUCUGUAUAAAAAUUAUACAGGCUUCUUUGAAAGAUUUAACAGUGACAGCUUUGUCCAACCUUUGAUUAGUGAUAUCAAAGGAAGCAUGAAACAGACAGCUGUGCACUUGCUAGAGCAGAUCAGCACUGUCAAGGAGAGCAGACUCUGGUGGUGUGCAGAGGAGGUUCCCCAGAUGUGGUUGACCAGAGAUGAUAUGGAGCUGAGUAGAAUUUCUAUAUCUUUAUGCAGAACCUAAUUGAGAUCUGUACGCUCUCAAAAAAGUGAGCCUAAUUCUCCACAUAGGAAAAAGUAAAUCAAAGGAAAACAAUGUCUACAAUAAGGAUGCACUACUUGUCUAAGAAUACAUUUAAGAUAACAAAAUCCAAAAAAAAAAAAAAAAAGAAUACAUUUAGACAGAUUCUAUAAAAUGACAAUGAGCUGAUCACAGAACUUAAGAGCAGGCUAGAUUACUUUUGGAAAACUGGGCAGAUUUUAAUAAUCUCAGGUUUUCCCUGAAAAAAAUCUUACCUUUUAAAUAUUAAUAUAUAAUCAUUUCAUGCAGAAAUUAAAUAAAUAUAAAAAGCCCAGAAAGUGUCUUAGUCAGCAAACAUCUGCCUUAAUAGCCAAAUUUUGAGAGAUGGCUACUAAAGGCAACACCAAGUUACAUAAACUUUAGUUUGUUAAUUAAGGUUAAAGAUUAGUAAAAUCUUAGGAAAAAAAAUGUCAGAUAAUUAUUUUGUCUCAUAAAACAAGAAUCAACAGAAAGUAAAACUUGUAUAAAGAAAGAUGUCAACAUCACCCCAAGGAAAAUUGAAAGAAUACAAAUAAAAAAUCGAAAUAAUCUGCAAAAAAUUAAUACAACAAACAAAUUUAUCCAUCAAGGACACUAGGUUUGCCCUACUUGGACCUCUAAGUUAAAGUUAAAGAAUGAGAAAUGGCAUUAAUGAGAAAAAAGAAAAAGGAAAAGCAGUCCCAUUGGGACAACUUUGUAAUUAUUAGAGGAUAUUCAUGGAGAUGAUAUAAACUUAUAUAAAGGGAUGUUGAGUGGUAAUUGAUUUAUAAGGUACUUAAAAGAUGGGAAAAUAUUGAAGGUAUGAAAAAAUCUCACUAUGAUAAAAGGUAUUGGUAGGGAACAAGGGGUUUUUCAAAAAAUGUUAUCUGACAACGGAACACAUCGCAAUCAACUGAAAUUUGUAGACAAGAUCCUAUUAACAAACAAUAAUACUGCUUAUUAUGAAAAAAACAUUUGACUCAUUAAAGCAAAAUGCUGUCUUAAGGUGCCUCCCAUCUAAGUAUCAUAAAUCACUCCUUAGAAGACAAUGGGAUAUAAAUAGUUUUGUUUAAUGCCACUCUGAUAAUAUGCAUCCAGUGAGGAGAUUUGAAAGAAUGACAUUUGCCUGUUUGUGGCAGCCCUGUUUGUAAUGGCUAGAAGCUGGAAAAUCAAAGGAUGUCCAUCAAUUGGAGAAUGGUUGAGUAAAUUGUGGUAUAUGAAUGUUAUGGAAUAUUAUUGUUCUGUAAGGAAUGACCAGCAGGAUGAAUAGAGAGAGGACUGGCGAGACUUACAUGAACUGAUGCUGAGUGAAAUGAGCAGAACCAGGAGAUCAUUAUAUACCUCAACAACGAUACUGUUUGAGGAUGUAUUCUGAUGGAAGUGGAUCUCUUUGAUAAAGAGAGCCUUAAUUGAUCAAAGAUGGAAAGAAGCAGCUACACCCAGAGAAAGAACACUGGGAAAUGAAUAUAAACUGCUUGCAUUUUUGUUUUUCUUCCCGGGUUAUUUAUACCUUCUGAAUUCAAUUCUCCCUGUGCAACAAGAAAACUGUUCGGUUCUGCACACAUAUAUUGUAUCCAGGAUAUACUAUAACCUAUUCAACAUGUAAAGGACUGCUUGCCAUCUGGGGGAAGGGGUGGAGGGAGGGAGGGGAAAAAUUGGAACAGAAGUGAAUGCAAGGGAUAAUGCUGUAAAAAAUUACCCUGGCAUGCGUUCUAUCAAUAAAAAAAUAUUAAAAUAAAAAAAUUAAAAAAAAAAAAAAAAAGAA